rnacentral:piRNA from 1 species
UGACUUUUUAGUAGUUGGCUGAGAUGGAC